GAAACUCCGGAAGGGAGGAGAGGACAGCUGAGUGGAAGGUCAACCAGUCCAACUUCUCAUGUUUCAGAAGAGGAAAGCAAGGUCUGGAGAGGGAACGUGGCUUGCCCAAGAUAUGUUUCAAACUUUGAUGAAAAGCAGGGAAGUUUGGGAAGAAAAUCCAAGACUUCUCUGGAGAGAG
ensembl:lncRNA novel transcript